UACGUAGGGGGCAAGCGUUGUCCGGAUUUAUUGGGCGUAAAGAGCGUGUAGGCGGUUUGGUAGGUCCGUUGUGAAAACUCGAGGCUCAACCUCGAGACGCCGAUGGAAACCAUCAGACUAGAGUCCGGAAGAGGAGGGUGGAAUUCCUGGUGUAGCGGUUAAAUGCGCAGAUAUCAGGAAGAACACCCGUGGCUAAGGCGGCUCUCUAGUACGGUACUGACGCUGAGACGCGAAAGCGUGGGGAGCGAACAGG
rnacentral:rRNA from 1 species